UAUUGGACGAAGUGGGUGCCACUCACAGCCGCUCCUUUUCACUGGUUGGCUGUACGUGUCUCCAGGCGCGCAAGCUCCAAGUAGGAAAGGGGGCGGAACCGAGCUCCGCCGGCUCCCACAGCCUCCUGCCCCUCUGCGGACGCCGCGGGUUCCAACCCUGCAGAAGGAGCGGGGCGGAGCGGGCUCCGCUGGUUCCCACACGCACAGCUUCCCCCUUCCCUGUUUUAAUCUUCUUAGUGCUUAAAGUAGCAAGAGUGGUUUCUUUUUCCUGCAGAUGGACCCUCCUUUAUACAGGUAGGGAGAGAAGAGGACGCCCAGGAUAGCGUCCAGAGGAACGCCAGCACUUACUAUGGGCAGGGAGGAGGAUCCAGAAGAGAGAUCGGAGAAGGAGCAUCAAAGAGGAGGGGGAAACCCAGGGAAGUUUCAAGCACACCAUGGUUAACAACGUCAUUCUCGACUGCUGCCAGGAAGCAGGAUCUUUGCAGAUGUGAUCAAAAUAAGGUCAUGCUGGAUUAGGGUGGGCCCUUGUAAGAAGAGAGAAAUUUAGACACAGACACACAGGGAAGAAGGCCAAUUGAUGAUGGAGACAGAGUUUUGCAGCUGCCAACUGAGGAACUCCUGGAGCCACCAGAAGCUGGAAGAGGCAAGGAAAGAUUCUUCCCUAGAGCUUUCAGAGGGAGCACAGCCCUGUUGACUUUGGACUUCUAGCUUCCAGAACUGGGAGAGAAUAAAUUUCCGUUGGUUUAAGCCUACCAGUUUGUGGUAAUCUGUUAUGGCAGCCCUGGGAAACUAACACGCUAUAUGUUUGAUAUUUUUCAUAAUAAAACAUAUAGGGAAGGACUUCCCUGGUGGUGCAGUGGUUAAGAAUCUGUCUGCCAAUGUAGGGGACAUGGGUUCGUGCCUGGUCCGGGAAGAUCCUACAUGCUGCUGAACAACUAAGCCCGUGCGCCACAACUACUGAGCCUGCGCUCUAGAGCCCACAAGCCACAACUACCGAGCCCACGUGCUACAGUUACUGAAGCCCACACACCUAGAGCCCGUGUUCCGCAACAAGAGAAGCCACUGCAAUGAGAAGCCCGCGCACCACAACGAAGAGUAGCCCCCGCUCGCCACAACUAGAGAAAGCCCACGCGUAGCAACAAAGACCCAACGCAGCCAAAGAUAAAUAAAUAAAUAAAUUUAUUUAAAUAUAUAUAUAGAGAGAGAGAGAGAGAGGAAAGUUUGAUCAGGCCCAUUGCUGGCAAGGAUGUCAGGAAAUAGAGUCUCACCUACACAGUGGUGAGAGUAUCGAUUGGUAGAACUUUUUGGGAGGCUAAUUUGGCAGCGUCUAACAAACUAAAACGUGUCUGACCUUUAACCAAGCAGUUUCCCUCUUAGGAUCCAUUCAACAGAAGUACUCAUCCAAGCACAAGAUGCACAUACAAAGAGAUCCACUGCAGCGCCGUUUGUAGUUGCAAAGAUGUGGGCACUUGUGACUAGACACUGGGACACUGUGCCCCGCCACUGCUGCUGCCGCCCCUGCCCCUCAAACACCAUCUCCCUGGCAGGAUUCAAUCUGCGUGCACACGAGAAGGGGGACGAUGCUGGGAGCCGCUGCACCGUGUACACAAUGACUCCCACCCAGCCCCAUGGAGCUGACAGACCAUCGGUCACCUGCACUUGUCUGAGAAACUGCUUAUGAGAUUGUAGUCAUGGUUGUCACACAUGUGGCUCUGACUAAGACAGUGGCAGUUGAGCUGAAGACAGGAGGUGGGCUUGGCAUGGUCAGGGAGGACAGUGGCUGAAGGUGGCUCUUGGAUGUCUCUGAGUUGGGGACUGGGAGAUGAGAUCAGUUGGGGACAGUUAAGUCUGGGUUGUUUGUGGGGCCCCCAACUGGCCAUGUCCGGGCCAGCUGAGGGGAGAGGUUUGUGCUGGAGCCUUCUGUGCCCCCAAAACCCUGGGAGAGGUUGGAAGUUCUAGUGCCACGAUCUGAUUUGUAUUUGAAAAGGCGGAUCUGGCUGUGGGAGCAGAGCGGAUGAUAGGGAUGGGAGUGCCAGCAGAAGCCAGGAGGAGGCUGUUGCCAUCAUCUGGGAGAAAGAUGAUGGGGGCCUGGCCAGGGUAAUGGAGGGGCAGAGAGGGAAGGCAAAAGAGACUGCAGAGGUCACUGCCUCAGUGUUGGUGCAGGACCGAGGUUCGACCAGGUGGCAUGAUGGUGGGGCAAGGGCCCCAGGAGCAUCUGAAGUGAGAGGUCGAAGCCAGGGCAGCCAGCGGGGGGGUGGGGAAACCAGAGCCCCUCAUGCUCAAGCCCUCCCCUGGCCUUGCUCUUGCUGUCACUCGCUGCCCUGGGGGUCAGUUGCAUCCCCUCGGUCUGUCAUUCCGUCACUCACCAAAGUCCUAGAAAUCUUUCUCGGCCCAGCACCUGGGGGGGGAAACAAAAUGAGGACCCCCAAUUGGGGCAUCACGGUAAAGUCAAAGUCCUCCAGGCCCAGGACAGACCCGGCAAGGGACACGUUUUGAGAGGAAAGUUCUAUAAUGAUGCCACAGGAGUGAAAGCUGUCGAGGGAAGGGACAGAGGCCCCAGGGAUCAGAACAGUGACACAGGGUGACAAGAGGAGCCGAUGGGACUUCUGUGGUGGUCCAGUAGCUAAGGCUCUGCGCUCCCAAUGCAGGGGGCCCAGGUUCGACCCCGGUCAGGGAACUCGAUCCCACAGGCCACUACUAAAGAUCCCGCAUGCUGCAACUAAAGAUCCCACAUGCUGCAACUAAGACCCGAUGCAGCCAAAUAAAUAAAUAAAUAUUAAAAAAAAAACAAACGAGGAGCCAAUGGCCAUGGGCAGACUUAGGAACACAAAGGGCACCAUUUAAAUAAAGUUUCAAGGCAAAGACUUUCUCAAAAGUGUGACCUUGCUGGCCAGCAGUCUCUUGCUCACCAUCCUUAAGGGAGAAAGUCCCGUGGCUACUUUUCUUCUUCCCUCAGUUCCCGGAGGUCCCUGGAGUGGUGACCUCGAGGCUUCCUGAAGCGGUUGCUAUGGGCCAGGCACUGAGUCAGACUCGGACCCUGCCCCUCAAGUUCACAAUCUGAUCCGGAGGAGAUGCAGAAUAGUUGACCACUUCAGUAUGUCCCCCUAAACAGUCUAGUGCUCAGUCUGCUCGUCCUUGAGCUUGACGAAAUGGCAUCAUCCUGCGCGGGGGACGCGGGUAGCAUCGUGCCAUCCUUGCUAGUCUGGUGGUAAGCCUUCCGCGACCCUGGUUUCACUCUUUCCUUGGUAGGUGCCGGUGCUCCCUACCGUCCCUGUUUGCCGGGAGGCUUUUCAUGACCUACGAACGCAAGAUGUCUCAGGGGCCGCGGCAGACGGCAUCGUCGUUCACAGUGAUUCAGUCUCCCCCUUCCCUUAGGAGCACCCCUCCUUGCCCAUUUCCAGGCAGGAGACACACUGGAAGAGACAGGUUCCAGGGCACCCCACCGUAGCUGGGAUCCGGGGAUCAGGAGACCACCAGGGUCCCUGUGGGAGUGUUACAACACCCGCACAGCAAGUGACUAGGCACUGGAACGUUGCUGCUGAAACACUGAACUCCAUGCUGUGCUGGGCGUGAGACAGGUGAAGGGGCGGGAAGGGCGCCAUCGCCUCACCCCUGCAUCCCACAUCAUCUCGAGUGUGUCCCCAGGCAAGGUGGAGUCCACACCCUGAGCCUGCUCACCCAGACCACCUCUCAGCCCUCCCAGGCUUGCCUUCCCCACACACUCCUUGCCCCCCACCCCUACACUGGCCCAAAAAAGAAAAGUUGCAAAAUCCAGGUGUACAGCGCAAUGACUUAGCAAAGCAAACAAAAACACUCCCUUGGCAUCACCAAAGUCAAGAACUCAAAUGUCUACCUCCCCAAACCCCCUCAUCCCCCUCCCAUCACUUCCUUCUCCCUUCCACCGAAGUGACCACAAACCUGAUUGUUGUGAUAAUCUCUUUGGUUUUUAUAAUUUUACCAAUUGUGUCAGUCCGUCCAGGAUGCUAUGACAAAGUACCACAGACUGUGGCGUUUACAAACAGCAGAAAUUUAUUGCUCACAGUUCCCGAGGCUGGAAGUCAGAAAUUAGGGUACCAUCAGGGUAGGGGAAGGCCCUCUUCCGGGUUGCAGACUUCUCAUUGUAUCCUCACUGGUGGAAGGGGUGAGGGAACUCUCUGGAGCUUCUUUUAUAAGGGCACUAAUCCCAUCAUGAGGACCUCACCCCCAUGACCUCAUGACCUAAGCACCUCCCACAGGCCCCACCUACUAAUACCAUUAGGGGAUUAGGUUUCAGUGAAUUGGGUGGGGGGACACAAACAUCCAGGCCAUCACACGAGAUAAGCAGGCAUCCCUCAAUAUGAUGAUUUUGUUUUGUCUGUUUUCGGACUUUAUAUAAAUGGAAUUAAUCAGUA